CGACGACUUGAUCCUUUUCAAUCGAUCAACCAUUUGGGGAGCAGGGAGCCCCUAGGCCAGAUCUGCUGGAAUUUUUCGUCUGCUUAGCUCACCUCUCAGGCUUAGCAAAUACAGUACUCUGUACAAUUUUGUAACCGAGCUGGUCUUAGAGUUUGUGACAUGGAAUGCUUUGUCUUGUUUGGUGUCCGCGGUUGCUUUCCUGCCUCGUUCCCUCUCGAUUAGGACUGAAACCUGUGAAUCAUGGGACAUCUCUGAACGAGGCAUCAGAGUCAGGAACCUAGUCUUACCUGAUUGGUGCCUCCCGGCUGACCUUAGACACAGUUCGCUGGUUCCCCCUCAGCACAGCAGUCACCCUAGAGUCAGGAUUGUGAUUGAAUUGCCUUAUCUGCUAUGGUUGCUGUUAGUAUGGAGUGAAAUCAGAACUAGAUGUUUCUGUUUAUUAUGAUGUGCAUACACCUGACCUGAACACAAUCAAGAUGGUCUUGUCUUGCGUGUGCCUCACAUUUUCUUUUCACUUGUUCCUAAAAUGUACCAUUAGGGCACUCACAAUGCACUGCAUCUUAAACUGUAUACUGUUGCUUUUAAUAGAGGUAUUGAUGCAUCUUUCUCAAUGGGUUAUAUCUUUGUGCGUGCUGUAUUUAGAAGCUUCUGUUUUGUUGCAUAUAAUCAGUAGUAACAUUUUAUUCUUGUGGCCAACUUGUGGAGCAUGGAAAAUACAAGAGAUAGGUUGAACUACUGCCAAGUUUGCUAAUACACAGUUCUGUGCAAUAAACAAUAGAAACAAACGAUUGGCAGGCACAACAUCUCACCGGCGGUUCAUUGAACACUCAUUUGCAUAGAGAAAAAAGCUUACUGCUGAAUAAACAGAAGCAAACAGGCACUGCAUUCAAAUCCCACAUUUGUACUGUCAUUACGGUGAGGAACAUGUAACCUGUAAAGCAAAAGACAGGUACUACAGAGUGCCGAGAUUACCUCUACUAUUGUUAUACACUGCAUUAUAUCACUCAAGGGUAGUAUCACAUAAGCUUGCUUAGUGUUUGCCCGAAAGCUGCUCCAUGUCUCUGACUCUCCCAACCGGACCUGAACAAAAGUAACACCUUAAACUGAGCACGCAGCAAGUGAUGAUGAUGUUGCCUUCCCUGGAGACAGCCAAUGGCGAAGGAACCCGUGGCCGGUGUUGCCGCAGGCCGUGCAGAUUCGGUGGAGGAGUGACCUCCGAUGCCAGAGUAGGUAGCUGUCUGAGGGCAGUGGCGGUGUCUCCCUGUCGGUUAGUGCAACAGGAAGAAACUAGGCAGAGAACAAUCACUGAAUUUGUAAGGGAACAUGGGCAAGGUUAGAGGAAGAAAUAUGACAAACAGGGACUUCAUUUUGGAGGCAGAGGCGUGGUGGAUCCGUUCAGCACUAAAGUGACCUACAUAUGCAUUGGUUUUCCAUUUUAGUCGUAUAUUUUGUAAGACACAGGUACCCUGUCUCUCUUCUUUACCUUCCACAUCAGAUUCAAUCCUAUGUGGCAUCAUCAAGAUAUUCCUGAUGGUGGAGCAUUGGAAGUGCUCUUAGACUGCAGUUUCUAGAUAGAGAAGUCUGUGUACAGUGUAAUAGUGUUAGUAAAGCCGUCAUUUAGGGGUUAAUAAUAAAUCACUCAUAACUGUAUAUGUUACACAUUUGGGAAAUCUGCCGUGCUUUCGUUUCCCCCGUGAACAUGUCUUAGGGUUCACUUUACAACCCUCUGUUUUGGUUCGAGUUUCACCCCCAAACUCCAAAAGCUGUUUGCAAUAACAACCUUCACAGGAUUUAACCGGUUCUAUAGAUGUAUGAAUCAGAGUGUGCUUCCCCUGCUGAUAAUUUGAUGCUAGUUCUGAUUUGCCAUACCUUUGUUUCAGUCUGAUGUUACUGAUACUAGUUAUGUGUGUGCCUUACUAGUUAUGUAUGCCUUAACCUUAUCUUUUGUGUCUGGUGCCCUGCCAUCUUUGAAGUUAGGACAUGGAUGUAGGUGCCCCUAUGUAUCAAAAAUUGUGUAUUGAAACCAAGAAUGGUCAUAUAGCGAAGUGGAUAUCGCGUUAGAUUCCGAAUCUAUAGGUCGUGGGUUCGAAUCCCACUAUGAUCAAUUUGCCUUGGGUUUUUUGUAGAGGAAAUUUCGUCCUGGCUCUUGUUUUUGUUUCUUGUGUUUUUCAGCAGACAGUGACGUAGUGGCAGCGCCCACAAGGUAUUCAAGGUUCUUGUGAACAUGAUUGGUCCCAAGACCCCAGCUUCCUGCCAAGAGGAUUGUCACAGAGUGCAGAAUUUUGACAGUGAUCAUGCCUCCCUGUCUAACCAGUUUUACCCCCGAAUGGCUUAUCCAUUUCCGUCAUGUAACCCUCUGGUGAAUGUUGCUGUAAUUUGUCCUACUUGUCGGGGAUGGGACCAUUCCAUCCAAGGGAAGACUUGGUUGGCAAUGGCCAUCAUUAUCCAGAACAUGUGGUGAAGGUGUUGUUUGUUUAUGAAGUCGUAGUUCAGUUGGUUUUGUGUAUUGUUAUGCAAAUAGAUUGGAAUUGGUUUUAACGAAGUUAAGUUAGCAUUUCCGUAAAGAAGUUGUAUGUAACGUAGAUUGUCUCUGAAUCAACUUUGU
rnacentral:tRNA from 1 species